UAUCUCUGUAGAGUCUGCAUAUCAAUAAGCGGAGGAAAAGAAACUAACAAGGAUUCCCCUAGUAACGGCGAGUGAAGCGGGAAGAGCUCAAAUUUGAAAUCUUCAAGGUUUGACCUUGACGAAUUGUAGUUUAAAGAAGUGUUUUCGGUUAGAGGAGUUCGGUAAAAGUUCUUUGGAAUAGGACAUCAUAGAGGGGUGAGAAUCCCGUAUUUGGUCAUUCCUUCCUAGCUUUGUGAUACACUUUCAACGAGUCGGAUUGUUUGGGAAUGCAGUCCAAAAUGGGUGGUAAAUUUCAUCUAAAGCUAAAUAUUGGCGAGAGACCGAUAGCGAACAAGUACCGUGAGGGAAAGAUGAAAAGAACUUUGAAAAGAGAGUUAAACAGUACGUGAAAUUGUCAAAAGGGAAGCGUUUGACACCAGUGUUGUUUUUCCGAAAAUCAAUUAAAAAUUGAUUCAUGCCAGGUUGUAUUGACCUUAUCAGCUUGCAAUUUGGUUUUGGGUCUCUUUUUGAUGCACUUUUCGGUUAACAAGUCAACAUCAAUUUCCUUUGCUGUAAAAAGGUAAGAGGAAGGUGGCUUCAAUUUCGGUUGAAGUGUUUAUAGCCUUUUAUCUCUGCAGUCGGGGAGAUUGAGGUCUGCAGCGUAGAUCCUUCGGGGCUAGAUACAUUUAUGCUAAGUUAUAGCUUUUCAUAGACAACUUGUUGACUAUGUUUAGUCAUGUAGCUUACUCGUAAGUGCUAUUUUACCUACGCUUAGGAUGUUGAAGACUCUACAGAGAUA
rnacentral:rRNA from 1 species